rnacentral:rRNA from 1 species
UACGUAGGGAGCAAGCGUUGUUCGGAUUUACUGGGCGUAAAGGGCGCGUAGGCGGCGUGUUAAGUCAGCUGUGAAAUCUCCAAGCUCAACUUGGAACGGCCAGCUGAUACUGAUGUGCUAGAGUGCAGAAGGGGCAAUCGGAAUUCUUGGUGUAGCGGUGAAAUGCGUAGAUAUCAAGAGGAACACCUGAGGUGAAGACGGGUUGCUGGGCUGACACUGACGCUGAGGCGCGAAAGCCAGGGGAGCAAACAGG